rnacentral:rRNA from 1 species
UACAGAGGGUGCGAGCGUUAAUCGGAAUUACUGGGCGUAAAGCGUGCGUAGACGGUUAUGUAAGUCGGGUGUGAAAGCCCCGGGCUCAACCUGGGAAUUGCAUUCGAGACUGUGUAGCUAGGGUGCGGAAGAGGGAAGCGGAAUUUCCGGUGUAGCGGUGAAAUGCGUAGAUAUCGGAAGGAACACCAGUGGCGAAAGCGGCUUCCUGGUCCAGCACCGACGUCAGGCACGAAAGCGUGGGGAGCAAACAGG